UGGCUUAGAGGGUAAAGCGUCUGCCUGCAAUGCAGGAGACCUGGGUUCAGUCCCUAG
rnacentral:tRNA from 1 species